rnacentral:tRNA from 1 species
AUGUUUUUAGUGUAAUUGGUAACACGCUUAGUACAAUGGGGAGUAUUAAGUAAAGUAAGUUCGAAUCUUACAAAACAUA